rnacentral:misc_RNA from 1 species
GAAAUGCGAUAAGUAAUGUGAAUUUCAGAAUUCAGUGAAUCAUCGAAUCUUUGAACGCACCUUGCGCUCCUUGGUAUUCCUUGGAGCAUGCCUGUUUGAGUAUCAUGAAAUCUUCAAAGUAAAUCUUUUGUUAACUCAAUUGGUUUCUACUUUGGUAUUGGAGGUCUUUGCAGCUUCACACCUGCUCCUCUUUGUUCAUUAGCUGGAUCUCAGUGUUAUGCUUGGUUCCACUCGGCGUGAUAAGUUAUCUAUCGCUGAGGACACUGUAAAAGGUGGCCAAGGUAAAUGCAGAUGAACCGCUUCUAAUAGUCCAUUGACUUGGACAAUACUUUUAUGAUCUGAUCUCAAAUCAGGUAGGACUACCCGCUAAACUUAAGC